rnacentral:lncRNA from 1 species
AGAUACACCAGAAGAGGGAAUCAGAUCCCAUUACUGAUGGUUGUGAGCCACCAUGUGGUUGCUGGAACUUAAGACCUCUGGAAGAGCAGUCAGUGCUCUUAAUCACUGACCCAUCUCUCCAGCCCCCAAAGUUUCAAUUUAACCUCAGGCAGAUUUUUAGCUCCUUUCUUUCCUUUUUUUUUUUUUUUUAAGAUUUAUUUAUUUGUUUACUUAUUUACUUAUUAUAGUACAUUGUAGCUGUCUUCAGACACACCAGAAGAGGGCAUCAGAUCUCAUUACAGAUGGUUAUGAGCCACCAUGUGGUUGCUGGGAUUUGAACUUAGGACUUUUGGUAGAGCAGUCAGUGCUCCUAACCACUGAGCCACCUCUCCAGCCCUUUAGCUCCUUUCAAGAUUGCCCAUUAAAAGUGUUCGGCUGCUUUUCUAUUCCAAAGCAGCAUGGUCAGGCUGUCACAGGAAUAGCCCACUUGCUGAUACCAAUUUGUAUCUUUUCGAUUGCUGUGACCAAGGCAACUUAUAAAAGAGUUUAUUUUGGGGCUCACAGUUCCAGUGGUUGGGUCCAUGACUAUCAUGGUGAAGAGCAUAGCAGCAGGCAGGUAGGCAGGCAGGCAUGGCACGAGAGCUGAGAGCUUAAAACUUGAUCCAUGAGCAUGAGGCAUGCAUAGACAGACAAAUGCACACGCACACACAUCCUGAAAAAAGUGGGCUUUUGACACCCUCCUCUCUGGACCUCUUUUUCCUUCCUUCCUU